rnacentral:rRNA from 1 species
AUGUCUAGCUCAACUUCGCCCUCCCGCCAAUCAUGGCCACAGUACGGUCCAGUGCCGUUGACAAGAUGCCCCGAUUGCCCACGCAUGGAGCCUCUGAAGCGUUUGACUUAUGUGAAGGAGGAAAAUGACAACCGUCGGUGCGAGUUCAUCAAAUGCUUGAGCAGGCCACAGCCGGGGCAGGUCCUGAAGAAAUGUGGACAUUUCGAGUGGCUCGAUGAGUACGUUGAGAGGUUGAAAAUGCAGGCUUCAACACAAGAGCUCAAUUUCAAUUUUGGGGGGCAGCUUGGUGUGCAACACGCCUCACAUUUGGUGGACAGAGCCGAUCCAUGA